CGUUGUUCAUGAAUGGAACUUGAAUCUCUACUAUUUAUCUAUCCUCAUAUGCCAUUUGAGUGGAGGUGUGACCGGGGACUACAAAAAUAGAAGAGGCGACCAACAUGUUUUAUUUGUAUGAAUACAUAGUUGGUGUUGGGCUUUGUUGAUAGUGAAUAUUGUAAAUCAGGGAGACAACCCUGCGUCUUUAUUACCCUGGCAAUCAUUUCUAUUUUUAUAUUCAUACUCUUUCAAACUAUAAUGCUUAAGGCUUUGCCCUUUAUAAAAGGAUGGUGAUUAUUGCGAGUGUGUGGCCACUAAAGGUAAUGAGGUAUUGGAGGUUUUGGAGAAAGCAAAAGAUGAGAAUAUUGGUCACUCAAAUGUAGAAUUGAUCACUCAAAUGCAAAAACUGGCACAGGUUAGAAACAAAGGCUUGACAUAGGGGAGAUUGAGUUCUAAUAGCUCUAUUACAAUAAAAAAGACCCAGUUCCAUGCAAAAACUGGCACAGGUUAGAAACAAAGGCUUGACAUAGGGGAGAUUGAGUUCUAAUAGCUCUAUUACAAUAAAAAAGAUCCAGUUCCAUGACAAUAGUAAUCAUAAGAUUCUUCAAAAAGUAAGCAUGUAAGUGUUCUGAAAGAAGAAAAAUUGUUAGAAUUUAUAUAACUCUAAUAAUAAGUGUGAAAAAUAUAAAUACCAUCAAAUUUUCCAAAUGAAUGGAACCAAUUUACACAUAUUAUAUGUAAAAGGGUGCUAGAGUUAUGCAUAUAUGCUCUCUAACAAAGUUCACUCAUAUUAAGGGUGUCACUUAAGGAGCAUAUUGGAAAAUAUUCAUACAAUUUGAAUUGCAUGGUAUUUUUAAUUGAU